rnacentral:snoRNA from 1 species
UCUGGCGAUGAUGACACACUUGCCCUCACUGAGAACGCUGUUCGGUAAUGAGCCCACUCGCGCUCAGAUGGGCUGAGCCAGA